rnacentral:rRNA from 1 species
GACGAACGCUGGCGGCGUGCUUAACACAUGCAAGUCGAACGGAAAGGCCCUGCGUUUGUUGGUUGCUCGAGUGGCGAACGGGUGAGUAACACGUGAGUAACCUGCCCUUAACUGUGUGAUAACUUCAGGAAACUGGGGCGAAUACCGGAGAGGAGCUCCUGCUGCGUGGGGUUGGUUGGAGAGUGUCGGCGGUGGUGGAUGGACUCGCGGCUUAUCAGCUUGUUGGUGGGGUAGUUGCUUACCACGGCUUUGACGGGUAGCCGGCCUGAGAGGGUGACCGGCGACCUUGGGACUGCGAUACGGCGCAGAAUCCUACGGGAGGCAGCAGUGGGGAAUAUUGCACAAUGGGCGGAAGCGUGAUGCAGAAACGUCGCGUGCGGGAUGCCGGCUUUCGGGUUGUAAACCGCUUUCGACUGUGACGAAGAGUGAGUGACGGUACUGGGUCAAGAAGCACCGGCUAACUACGUG